CAUUAUACCGUGAAACUGCGAAUGGCUCAUUAAAUCAGUUAUCGUUUAUUUGAUAGUACCUUACUACUUGGAUAACCGUGGUAAUUCUAGAGCUAAUACAUGCUAAAAACCCCAACUUCGGGAGGGGUGUAUUUAUUAGAUAAAAAACCAACGCCCUUCGGGGCUUCUUGGUGAUUCAUGAUAACUUUACGGAUCGCAUGGCCUUGCGCCGGCGACGGUUCAUUCAAAUUUCUGCCCUAUCAACUUUCGAUGGUAAGGUAUUGGCUUACCAUGGUUUCAACGGGUAACGGGGAAUUAGGGUUCGAUUCCGGAGAGGGAGCCUGAGAAACGGCUACCACAUCCAAGGAAGGCAGCAGGCGCGCAAAUUACCCAAUCCCGACACGGGGAGGUAGUGACAAUAAAUACUGAUACAGGGCUCUUUUGGGUCUUGUAAUUGGAAUGAGUACAAUUUAAACCUCUUAACGAGGAACAAUUGGAGGGCAAGUCUGGUGCCAGCAGCCGCGGUAAUUCCAGCUCCAAUAGCGUAUAUUAAAGUUGUUGCAGUUAAAAAGCUCGUAGUUGAAACUUGGGUCUGGCUGGCAGGUCCGCCUCACCGCGUGUACUUGUCCGGCCGGGCCUUCCUUCUGGAGAACCUCAUGCCCUUCACUGGGCGUGUUGGGGACCAGGACUUUUACUUUGAAAAAAUUAGAGUGUUCAAAGCAGGCCUUUGCUCGAAUACGUUAGCAUGGAAUAAUAGAAUAGGACGUGCGGUCCUAUUUUGUUGGUUUCUAGGACCGCCGUAAUGAUUAAUAGGGACAGUCGGGGGCAUCAGUAUUCAAUUGUCAGAGGUGAAAUUCUUGGAUUUAUUGAAGACUAACUACUGCGAAAGCAUUUGCCAAGGAUGUUUUCAUUAAUCAGUGAACGAAAGUUAGGGGAUCGAAGACGAUCAGAUACCGUCGUAGUCUUAACCGUAAACUAUGCCGACUAGGGAUCGGGCGAUGUUCUUUUUCUGACUCGCUCGGCACCUUACGAGAAAUCAAAGUUUUUGGGUUCUGGGGGGAAUAUGGUCGCAAGGCUGAAACUUAAAGGAAUUU
rnacentral:rRNA from 1 species